GAAUGCUUAUGUAAGAACAUUUCAUCUCUCUGUGAGAUUGAGGACCCAUUCCAGAUGCAGCAUUUUUUACAUAAUUUCAAUGACAUUUUAAAUCAUCUUCACUACUUGUCUGGAUUGCCGAAGACUCAGACAGCUCUUCUCUAGUCUCUUGUGAUGACUUUAUGGUGGUAAUAAUGUCCACUGAAACUCCAAUCUUCACACAACAAGACACUCUUCCUCUACACAAGCACAAGAGCAAAGCGUACUCCUGUUUUCAUCAAGACACAGACAGAUUAAAAAAAUCCAGAUGUUUAAGGUGUCUUGUAAUGCUGUGGUCUGGCUGACUUUCCCUGGAUGUGCUGUUUAGCAGAGCCAAAGCAGAGCUUAAAAUCCUGGUCUUUGCCUCAUACUGUAAAACACCGGCCAAGUCCUGUUACUUACACAGAGUUUACACAUCCUCAUACUGUGAAGCUCAGGCUCCUCAUCAGUGAAAGCUCAGAUGGUGAGGAUUUAACCUUAUUGCAUGAUGAUGGUGAUGAUGAAAAUCAUGAGAUACCUCUCUGUAGAGAGAUAUGCAUUGGUUUACAAAGUCAUGGCAAGCUAAAGAAAAGAUGGUUGAUGGACAUACAGAGCCUCCCAUCAACAAAUAUGAAGACACAUGUAGUCUCCACAAGCUACGGUAUUGCAGAGGCAAACUAUAAGGAGGCACCAGCAAGAUGUGAAAAUUUUGGUAUGCCCAAUUCCCAGUGUACUCUGGGUCCUCAUGGUGGCCUAGGACUCACCUCAAUCUGGGUGGUGGAGGAUGAAUCUCAGUUGCCUCCCUGUCUGAGACAGUCAAUCCACACAUCUUAUCACGUGGCUUGUUGAGUGCAUUACCGCAGAGACAUAGCGCGUGUGGAGGUUCACGCUAUUCUCCGUGGCAUCCACGCACAACUCACCACACACCAAACCGAGAGUGAGAACCACAUUAUAGCGACCACGAGGAGGUUAACCCAAUGUGACUCUACCCACUCUAGCAACUGGGCCAAUUGGUUGCUUAGGAAGCCUGACUGGAUUCACUCAGCACGCCCUGGAUUCGAACUUGCGACUCCAGGUGUGGUAGUCAGUGUCUUUACUUGCUAAGCUACCCAGGCCCCCUGUGGAAUGGAAGUUUAAAUUUCACUGUUGUAAGUCUAUAAAGCAAAGCUCUAGUGGGAAUUUAAAUCUUUGAUUUCGACCCAUAUCUUUAAUGAUGUUAUCCAUUUAUUAAAUUCAUGCACUAGAGAGAGUUAUUGGGACUGUCUUGAAGUUUUCUAAGAUUUAUCUCUGGUUUCAUCCUUGAAAAUCUCUUGAAAAGUCUUGAAAAUUCAUGGGUCAAAAUCUGGGGGAACCUUGUAAGGCUGAG